rnacentral:rRNA from 1 species
UACGUAGGGUGCAAGCGUUAAUCGGAAUUACUGGGCGUAAAGCGUGCGCAGGCGGCUUUGCAAGACAGAUGUGAAAUCCCCGGGCUCAACCUGGGAACUGCAUUUGUGACUGCAAAGCUAGAGUACGGCAGAGGGGGAUGGAAUUCCGCGUGUAGCAGUGAAAUGCGUAGAUAUGCGGAGGAACACCGAUGGCGAAGGCAAUCCCCUGGGCCUGUACUGACGCUGAGGCGCGAAAGCGUGGGGAGCAAACAGG